rnacentral:rRNA from 1 species
CACUAUCGUUAACUGAAUACAUAGGUUAACGAGGCGAACCGGGGGAACUGAAACAUCUAAGUACCCCGAGGAAAAGAAAUCAACCGAGAUUCCCCCAGUAGCGGCGAGCGAACGGGGAGCAGCCCAGAGUCUGAAUCAGCUUGUGUGUUAGUGGAACGGUCUGGAAAGUCCGACGGUACAGGGUGAUAGUCCCGUACACCAAAAUGCACAGGCUGUGAACUCGAAGAGUAGGGCGGGACACGUGGUAUCCUGUCUGAAUAUGGGGGGACCAUCCUCCAAGGCUAAAUACUCCUGACUGACCGAUAGUGAACCAGUACCGUGAGGGAAAGGCGAAAAGAACCCCGGCGAGGGGAGUGAAAAAGAACCUGAAACCGUGUACGUACAAGCAGUGGGAGCACCUUCGGGUGUGACUGCGUACCUUUUGUAUAAUGGGUCAGCGACUUAUAUUCUGUAGCAAGGUUAACCGUAUAGGGGAGCCGCAGGGAAACCGAGUCUUAACUGGGCGUUAAGUUGCAGGGUAUAGACCCGAAACCCGGUGAUCUAGCCAUGGGCAGGUUGAAGGUUGGGUAACACUAACUGGAGGACCGAACCGACUAAUGUUGAAAAAUUAGCGGAUGACUUGUGGCUGGGGGUGAAAGGCCAAUCAAACCGGGAGAUAGCUGGUUCUCCCCGAAAGCUAUUUAGGUAGCGCCUCGUGAACUCAUCUUCGGGGGUAGAGCACUGUUUCGGCUAGGGGGUCAUCCCGACUUACCAACCCGAUGCAAACUACGAAUACCGAAGAAUGUUAUCACGGGAGACACACGGCGGGUGCUAACGUCCGUCGUGAAGAGGGAAACAACCCAGACCGCCAGCUAAGGUCCCAAAGUCAUGGUUAAGUGGGAAACGAUGUGGGAAGGCACAGACAGCCAGGAUGUUGGCUUAGAAGCAGCCAUCAUUUAAAGAAAGCGUAAUAGCUCACUGGUCGAGUCGGCCUGCGCGGAAGAUGUAACGGGGCUAAACCAUGCACCGAAGCUGCGGCAGCGACACUAUGUGUUGUUGGGUAGGGGAGCGUUCUGUAAGCCUGCGAAGGUGACCUGUGAGGGUUGCUGGAGGUAUCAGAAGUGCGAAUGCUGACAUAAGUAACGAUAAAGCGGGUGAAAAGCCCGCUCGCCGGAAGACCAAGGGUUCCUGUCCAACGUUAAUCGGGGCAGGGUGAGUCGACCCCUAAGGCGAGGCCGAAAGGCGUAGUCGAUGGGAAACAGGUUAAUAUUCCUGUACUUGGUGUUACUGCGAAGGGGGGACGGAGAAGGCUAUGUUAGCCGGGCGACGGUUGUCCCGGUUUAAGCAUGUAGGCUGGUUGUCCAGGCAAAUCCGGAUAAUCAAGGCUGAGGUGUGAUGACGAGGCACUACGGUGCUGAAGUAACAAAUGCCCUGCUUCCAGGAAAAGCCUCUAAGCAUCAGGUAACAUUAAAUCGUACCCCAAACCGACACAGGUGGUCAGGUAGAGAAUACCAAGGCGCUUGAGAGAACUCGGGUGAAGGAACUAGGCAAAAUGGUGCCGUAACUUCGGGAGAAGGCACGCUGGUGUGUAGGUGAAGCCCCUGCGGGUGGAGCUGAGACCAGUCGAAGAUACCAGCUGGCUGCAACUGUUUAUUAAAAACACAGCACUGUGCAAACACGAAAGUGGACGUAUACGGUGUGACGCCUGCCCGGUGCCGGAAGGUUAAUUGAUGGGGUUAUCCGUAAGGAGAAGCUCUUGAUCGAAGCCCCGGUAAACGGCGGCCGUAACUAUAACGGUCCUAAGGUAGCGAAAUUCCUUGUCGGGUAAGUUCCGACCUGCACGAAUGGCGUAAUGAUGGCCAGGCUGUCUCCACCCGAGACUCAGUGAAAUUGAACUCGCUGUGAAGAUGCAGUGUACCCGCGGCAAGACGGAAAGACCCCGUGAACCUUUACUAUAGCUUGACACUGAACAUUGAGCCUUGAUGUGUAGGAUAGGUGGGAGGCUUUGAAGCGUGGACGCCAGUCUGCGUGGAGCCAACCUUGAAAUACCACCCUUUAAUGUUUGAUGUUCUAACGUUGGCCCCUGACCGGGGUUGCGGACAGUGUCUGGUGGGUAGUUUGACUGGGGCGGUCUCCUCCCAAAGCGUAACGGAGGAGCACGAAGGUUAGCUAAUCCUGGUCGGACAUCAGGAGGUUAGUGCAAUGGCAUAAGCUAGCUUGACUGCGAGCGUGACGGCGCGAGCAGGUGCGAAAGCAGGUCAUAGUGAUCCGGUGGUUCUGAAUGGAAGGGCCAUCGCUCAACGGAUAAAAGGUACUCCGGGGAUAACAGGCUGAUACCGCCCAAGAGUUCAUAUCGACGGCGGUGUUUGGCACCUCGAUGUCGGCUCAUCACAUCCUGGGGCUGAAGUAGGUCCCAAGGGUAUGGCUGUUCGCCAUUUAAAGUGGUACGCGAGCUGGGUUUAGAACGUCGUGAGACAGUUCGGUCCCUAUCUGCCGUGGGCGCUGGAGAAUUGAGGGGGGCUGCUCCUAGUACGAGAGGACCGGAGUGGACGCAUCACUGGUGUUCGGGUUGUCAUGCCAAUGGCACUGCCCGGUAGCUAAAUGCGGAAGAGAUAAGUGCUGAAAGCAUCUAAGCACGAAACUUGCCCCGAGAUGAGUUCUCCCUGAGACUAUAAGUCUCCUGAAGGAACGUUAAAGACGAUGACGUUGAUAGGCCGGGUGUGUAAGCGCAGCGAUGCGUUGAGCUAACCGGUACUAAUGAACCGUGAGGCUUAACCUU